GAUGAACGCUAGCGACAGGCCUAACACAUGCAAGUCGAGGGGCAGCACAAGGAGCAAUCUGAGGUGGCGACCGGCGCACGGGUGAGUAACACGUAGGGAACCUACCUAUACGACGAGGAUAACUACUGGAAACGGUAGCUAAAACUGGAUAGGAUCAAUUGAGGCAUCUUGAUUGAUUUAAAGAUCCUUCGGGAUUACGUAGAGAUGGCCCUGCGGCGCAUUAGCUAGUUGGUGAGGUAACGGCCCACCAAGGCGACGAUGCGUAGCUGAGCUGAGAGGCUAAACAGCCACACUGGGACUGAGACACGGCCCAGACUCCUACGGGAGGCAGCAGUCGGGAAUCUUCCACAAUGGGCGAAAGCCUGAUGGAGCGACGCCGCGUGAGUGAUGAAGGUCUUCGGAUCGUAAAGCUCUGUUACCAGGGACGAAACAAGACGGUACCUGGGGAGGAAGCCACGGCUAACUACGUGCCAGCAGCCGCGGUAAA
rnacentral:rRNA from 1 species